GGAAAAGCAUUCCUCUUAUUGGUCUCUUGGUCCACCUGACAGCUGCAAAGAGUGUACUUUAAAUGAAGCAUCCUAUGCAAAAGCAAUUUGAAAAUAAAGGAAGAGAAAAUUUAUUAAGCAUCUCCUGUUUCCCACCAUUGUGCUACAUGCUUUCUAACUAUUAUUGAUCUUCAUAGCAACUACGGAAGGAAGAUAUUAAUGGAAGAGGGAAAGAAGACCCCUGUUACCACAUUCUCUGAAAACCAUUGUACACCUCAUCUCUUGGCUACCCUUAAACUUGAAAAGAUUGAUUUCAGAAUGUCUCUGGACUCUGAUGAAGAAAAAUACAUAUUUCAGUAUAUUUGAUUUAUUUUGGAAAUUUAACUUCUUUUUAAAUUUAAAAUGCUAUUUCAAGAAGGAAUCUAUAUGUUUCACCAGAUCACCAAAUAAACCCAUAACAAACAUGUAUCCA
rnacentral:lncRNA from 1 species